AUGCUGUCAGAGAAGACCUUCAAGCAGUGCUGCACCUUCAAACAAAGAGUAGAUGUCUGACUUAUCCAAGAGUAGCAUCCAACCCAAAUCCCAGUGACAAUAAUAGAAUGAUACCAGGGUGAGAAGGAGCUUCCUGUCCUGGAUAAAACAAAGUUCCUUGUACCUGAUCACGUCAACAUGAGUGAACUCACCAAGAUAAUUAAAAGGUGCUUACGGCUCAAUGCUAAUCAAGCCUUCUUCCUGUUGGUGAAUGGACCCAGCACGGUGAGUGUUUCUACACCAACCUCAGAGGUGUAUGAGGGUGAGAAGGAUGAAGAUGGAUUCCUGUACACGGUCUAUGCCUCCCAGGAGAUGUUUGGAAGGAAAUUGUCAGUA
rnacentral:lncRNA from 1 species